UCUAACUCCUCCUCUGAGUGGUCAGGGGAGGACAGGCGUGGUCGGCUAGCCGCAUCUUCUGACCAUCUAUCUCUGAGGAAGAUAUGAAGGACUCUGAUUGGCCACUCUCAGACAAAGACCUUGGCCAGACAGGGGGGAUGGCCCAUGUCUGUCCAGUGAGCGAAGAAGACAAGAUGGCUGCUGCUAAGGCGGAUCUGUAGAUUGAAAGACGCUGGCUCUGUGCAGAUUUGUCGUAUCUAGACGCUUCUCUACAAGAAGCACCUUGCUACAAAAGUAGUGCUGAUUGGCUAAACGUGAGAAGAGAAGCCAAUCAGUGACUAGUAUGAUUUACCUAGCAACGACGUCCUCACAAACCAGCGGACUGGCCAACAGAGGGCGAUGUCGUUCCAUCUGAUGAUCAACUGUCAUUUACUG